GUGGGGAAUAUUGGACAAUGGGGAGAACCCUGAUCCAGCCAUGCCGCGUGUGUGAAGAAGGCCUUUUGGUUGUAAAGCACUUUAAGCGAGGAGGAGGCUACCGAGAUUAAUACUCUUGGAUAGUGGACGUUACUCGCAGAAUAAGCACCGGCUAACUCUGUGCCAGCAGCCGCGGUAAUACAGAGGGUGCAAGCGUUAAUCGGAUUUACUGGGCGUAAAGCGCGCGUAGGUGGCCAAUUAAGUCAAAUGUGAAAUCCCCGAGCUUAACUUGGGAAUUGCAUUCGAUACUGGUUGGCUAGAGUAUGGGAGAGGAUGGUAGAAUUCCAGGUGUAGCGGUGAAAUGCGUAGAGAUCUGGAGGAAUACCGAUGGCGAAGGCAGCCAUCUGGCCUAAUACUGACACUGAGGUGCGAAAGCAUGGGGAGCAAACAGGAUUAGAAACCGAGUAGUCC
rnacentral:rRNA from 1 species